CACAGUAGUCUACACACUGGUUA
rnacentral:miRNA from 1 species